rnacentral:lncRNA from 1 species
AUUCAUUUUCUGCCCCAAAUUCCUGGAGAGGCAGUGAGUCCACCUCGCUGAAGAUACAGCCUGUGAGGGGGGACCUUAGGUCCCCGAUGACCCCCCGCGUACGGGGUAGGGUUGGAGGAAAGAGCUGGGGGGACCCGUGAGAACCAGGACAGGAAAGGCACGACUUCUUUAGAGGAAGAGAGCUUUGUCUCCUUAGUUAUCAGAUUUGCUGGGGACCCGGAGACAGGUGCCCAAUUCUGAAGAAUAAAAUAGGCACUUUUCCAUGGAGAAAGCUGACAAACUACUUCUUUAAAAAAAUGGUGAAGAUAAACGUCUUCAGUGUGAUGUCAUAUGGAUAUCAUGUACCCACUUGAUAUGAUGUCAUAAGAAUGGCAUAAGCAGGAUGCCUCUUUGGUACCACUUCCAAAAAUUCAUCACCCAAAUCUAGUUAUGAUAAAAAACAUUCUUCAAACUCAUACUGAAGACUCCUAAAGCUAAUCAGUACUCUUCAAAACUGUCAAGGUCAUGAAAACAAUAAAAGACUGAAAAACCAUCACAGUCCAGAGGAAACUGGAGAAGUGACAACUCAUUGCAGUGUGGUAGUUUGGAUAGGAUCCUGGGACAGAAAGAUGAUAUUAAUGGAAAAGCUGGUGAAACACAACUUAGUCUGGAGUUUAGUUAAAAGUAACGUGUCAUUGGUGGUUUAUUAGCUUUAACAGACGUUCCGUGCUGUUGUAAAAUGUUCACUGUCAGGGAAAAAGGAUGAAGGGCACACAGACACUGUAUUAUCUUUGCAAUGUUUGUAAAUUGAAAAUUGUCCCAAUUAAGUUCAUUUUUUUCUAAGUUUAUUUUUCUAAAUCCAUUUAGAAUACCACCAAAAUGAAAUCAGGGCAUGUGCAUGUUUUACCUGCUAGCUUUCUAGACAGGAAAUUGAAUUUUGAUUUAGUACAUAUUUGCUCAAAUAUGAAAAUUCAAAAUAUCUGUUGCCGCAGUUUGGGCAGUUCAUCAUGCUUCAUAGUGUUAAAUACUUUGCCUUCAGCAUUAUGUUUUCCAGAUCUCUCAUUUAGUUCUUAUAACUGAAGAAAAUCAGAAAGUGUUUGCUAUCAUGCUCUCCAGACCCAACACAAGGAGAGUGCCAAGAGAAUAAUGCAAAUGAAACAUGUCAAGAGGCCGUGGACAUUUGCAGGUUAUGCAGAACUUGACUCCUGAGGAAAAUGUCAUCAGAAUCACUUGUUUUUGUAAAUGAAGUAUAAAGGAGAGGAUUCGUUGUUGUUGGUGGUGGUGGUGUUUUUCCCUAACAUGCCGCUUGUAUCAAUGAGAUCUUCAUAAGCCAAAGCUUAUAAUGCUGUUGACUACAAAAAUAAAUUGUCUUGUUAGAGCAAGUGUUUCUCCAAGCCUAUUUUCUUUUCAACAGUUGAAUGCCAGAAUUUUAUGCAGUCUUUAAACUUAUUCAAGCAAAAAUUCUUAAAGAAAUGGAAGAAUCUUUAAAAAUGGAAGCUUUGGUGGCCAAAUUCCAUUUGCCCUGUAAUCAUUAUGGAACCUUACAAAACUGGCAGACGGUCAAAUCUCGGUGCUCACAUCUCCUAGGCCACCUGUUCUCCAGUCACUGCUACAACACUAGCUGCCUGCAGAUGUCACCUGGAAACUCCUGGCCUCAGCUGAAUCAGUUUGUCCAUUGGUGGAGGAACCCAG